rnacentral:rRNA from 1 species
CCUACGGGAGGCAGCAGUGAGGAAUAUUGGUCAAUGGGCGCGAGCCUGACCCAGCCAAGUAGCGUGAAGGAUGACUGCCCUACGGGUUGUAAACUUCUUUUAUAAAGGAAUAACGUGAGGCACUUGUGCCUUUUUGUAUGUACUUUAUGUACAAGGAUCGGCUAGCUCCGUGCCAGCAGCCGCGGUAAUACGGAGGAUCCGAGCGUUAUCCGGAUUUAUUGGGUUUAAAGGGAGCGUAGAUGGGUUGUUAAGUCAGUUGUGAAAGUUUGCGGCUCAACCGGAAGAUUGCAAUUGAUACUGGCAGCCUUGAGUACAGUUGAGGUAGGCGGAAUUCGUGGUGUAGCGGUGAAAUGCUUAGAUAUCACGAAGAACUCCGAUUGCGAAGGCAGCUUGCUAAACUGCCACUGACAUUGAUGCUCGAAAGUGUGGGUAUCAAACAGGAUUAGAUACCCGUGUAGUC